UUUAGAGAGCUUUCUUAUUGUUAAGAGCUUUAGGAACAAUAAUCAGUGGUAUGUCAUUCUGGUAUUGUUAGCAAAGUCCUUUCUAUUGAAUUUUCAAGAUGUUGUAAAGUGAGAUUAUGUGAGUAGCACCUCUGGACACUUUUUCCCAUCAUUGUGUUGGUAUCAAUCGCUGACUUCCACUGUUUCUCCUGGUAUUAAAUGAAAAUGUUGUUUCCCACUACGCUGAUUGGAGGCUUUAUAAUGCAUGACAUAACUGAUAACCCUACUGAGAUUAUGCAUUGUAGGAUUCGAGCUGCACGAGAAAUUUGGACAACAAAGUAGGUGGCCACUCUGACUGGGAGAAAAAGUUUAAAAGAAAAUGUACCAGGAUCAUUGUUUCAGCUGAAACGAAGAAACAUUAUAAAUGGAUCAUUUGUGAGGCCGAUCCUUCAGUAUAUAGGCACACUGUGUUCUCCUGGGGGGUGCGGGGAUGUUUGGGAAGAACCCAGCCACUGUUUGUCCAAUCAGCAUCAGCCAGGAGAGAAUGGAGGCUCAAAAAGAUCCCCGACCGUGCUCAGCCUACAGACACAUUAUUGAGAAGAUACAGCAGGUGUGGUUUAGAUGAAAAUCACAGGCCUGUAGGUCCCAGCUUGCCACUGACAUGUGCUCGAUGCUUGGGAGCUGGCAAGGCCACCAAAGGCAGUCUGUGCCUGUCCUUGCUGUGUUCAGCCAUGACAAUGCCCAUGUUGCUGCCUGGUGAUAAUCAAGUGUAGCGCUCCUUGCCCUUGCGCAGGAGGGUCUCAGGCAGAGCACUUGGUGGGGCUCGGAAGUUGAACAUGGAUGGCAUUGACUGGAUCAUCUCAUUGGCCUCUGGCUUCAAGGCACUGAAACUCUCCAGCUUUUCGGCCAUGUUCUCUAUAGCUGACAUCUGCAAUGGAAGAUGGCACAACAGCCGGCAUGGGAGGAGCUAUUAAAAAAUUUCUGGAGAUUGUUUCCCUUCAAAGUGUCUGAAAUUGACCAGAAGAAAUGGCUCCAAAACUUCCAACAUUGUCACGUGAAGGGCUGAAGACUGCUGCUGAGCCUCCUGACAGAUGCAAGUGGACAGCACAUUUGUCAAUAUGAAGGAUUUUGACAUGUACUGAUCA
rnacentral:lncRNA from 1 species